UACAGAGGGGGCAAGCGUUGUUCGGAAUUACUGGGCGUAAAGGGCGCGUAGGCGGCCUGUUAAGUCGGACGUGAAAUCCCUCGGCUCAACCGGGGAACUGCGUCCGAUACUGGCGGGCUUGAAUUCGGGAGAGGGAUGUGGAAUUCCAGGUGUAGCGGUGAAAUGCGCAGAUAUCAGGAGGAACACCGGUGGCGAAGGCGGAUCUCUGGGCCAUUACUGACGCUGAGGAGCGAAAGCGUGGGGAGCGAACAGG
rnacentral:rRNA from 1 species